GCAGCCCUCCCCUGUUUUAAAAUUUCUUCUUUCCAUUUUCUCUGAGUUUCAGACCCUAGUGCGGCCGACUCCGGCAUGUUGCCAUCACAGCGCCGCCGUGGCUCCGCCGUGGACGGUGGUUGGGGCCACGCAAAAUCUACCCUUUUUUAACCGUUUUAAAAAAAUCUUUGAAGGUCAAGCCUCCUAGGCCUCAAUGGCUGAAAGAAAAACCCCUCUCGCCCUUACGUGGUCCAACUUCGGCGAUGGGGAAGAAGAUUCCGGCGACGGGACCCGCGGGGCGAACCUAGGUGCUUUUCUUUCCUCUUUCCUUUUUGUUUUAUUUUUGUACGCGUAAAAUAAGGUAAGAAACACACAAUAGCAGUAGACUAAAAAUGAAAGAAAAUAAAACAGAAAUAUAAACCUUAACUUUUUAUUGAUCUUUGAAUAAUCCCCCCCUCCGAUUACAGUGAUGAAGCCCCCCCUUACAAUGGUUUUUUGCUUGGCUUUUAUAGCCAUUUUACACUUUUUCUCUAUUAUUAUUUGCUGUCACUUCCUAUUUGAUUUUGCAGGUGCAGGUGGAAGAGCGGCGCUGAAGGAGCGGCGAGGGCAGAACAGUUGGUGGCUAGGGUAGGUUAGGGUUUCUGUCACUAGUUUAGGUUGUGGGCUAGGUUUAUUUUGGGCUGAAUUGGGUAAAAUUUUUUUAGACUUAUAGACUGUUAAUUGAUUUUGGUUUGGUUUAUUUGGUACGGGCCCGGGCAAAUUUGGGCUUCUACAUAUAGAAUAAGAAAAAUAAACUUGCUCCCACUGACCUGAUCAAUGGUGUGUUCCUUAAAAUCAAAGGAAGUUAAACUUAAUAUACACCAUGUAUUUAAACCCCCAUUAAGAAAGAUAGUUUUGUAUCCAUUGGGUACAACUCUAAAUUAUAAUGGUUUUGUAAUCAAUGUCUUCUUUUUAAUUGAAACCUUUGGUGGUAAGUCUAGCUUUAAAUCGUUCAGCAUUGUCUUUUGAGUCACGCUUACAAUAAUCUUCUUUUACAAUUUUUAAGCAAAUCAACUAGAUCCAAAACUUUAUUUUUAGUCAUCUUUCCAUUUUUUAAAAAUACUAUAAAAUCCUUUACCAAGGUUUUUUUUUACCAAUUUUUUCAAGGGAAAAGUGUUACUAGCUUUAUCUAGUCAAUUAAAUUUUAAGACAUAAAGAGUUUGAAAUAAAUCUAAAUGAUGUUCAAUAUCUAAAAUUACACUGUAAGUGUCAAUGUCGUUAAUUGAAACUUUAUUUCCAUCUCCCAUGUAAACAAAGCUAUCACUUUAUGGUUUGGGUUGUAACGGAUUUCGGCC
rnacentral:lncRNA from 1 species